GGGGUAUAUUGCACAAUGGGCGCAAGCCUGAUGCAGCCAUGCCGCGUGUAGUGAAGAAGGCCUUAGGGUUGUAAAGCAUCUUUCAGCGAGGAGGAAGGUGGCUGAGCUCUAAUACAUCUAAUCACUUGACUGUCUAUCUCGCGACAAGAAGCAGCCGGCUAUACUCCGUGCCAGCAGCCG
rnacentral:rRNA from 1 species